CCAGUGGGGAAUCUUGUGCAAUGGACGAAAGUCUGACACAGCCACGCCGCGUGCGGGAAGAAGGCCUUCGGGUUGUAAACCGCUUUCAGCAGGAACGAAAAUGACGGUACCUGCAGAAGAAGGAGCGGCCAACUACGUGCCAGCAGCCGCGGUGACACGUAGGCUCCAAGCGUUGUCCGGAUUUAUUGGGCGUAAAGAGCUCGUAGGCGGUUCAGCAAGUCGGGUGUGAAAACUCUGGGCUCAACCCAGAGCCUGCACCCGAAACUGCUGUGACUAGAGUUCGGUAGGGGAGUGGGGAAUUCCUAGUGUAGCGGUGAAAUGCGCAGAUAUUAGGAGGAACACCGAUGGCGAAGGCACCACUCUGGGCCGAAACUGACGCUGAGGAGCGAAAGCGUGGGUAGCAAACAGGAUUA
rnacentral:rRNA from 1 species